rnacentral:rRNA from 1 species
AGAGUUCGAUCCUGGCUCAGGAUGAACGCUGGCGGCGCGCCUAACACAUGCAAGUCGAACGGCACCUAUCUUCGGAUAGAAGCGAGUGGCGAACGGCUGAGUAACACGUGGAGAACCUGCCCCCUCCCCCGGGAUAGCCGCCCGAAAGGACGGGUAAUACCGGAUACACCGGGGUGCCGCAUGGCACCCCGGCUAAAGCCCCGACGGGAGGGGAUGGCUCCGCGGCCCAUCAGGUAGACGGCGGGGUGACGGCCCACCGUGCCGACAACGGGUAGCCGGGUUGAGAGACCGACCGGCCAGAUUGGGACUGAGACACGGCCCAGACUCCUACGGGAGGCAGCAGUGGGGAAUCUUGCGCAAUGGGGGGAACCCUGACGCAGCGACGCCGCGUGCGGGACGGAGGCCUUCGGGUCGUAAACCGCUUUCAGCAGGGAAGAGUCAAGACUGUACCUGCAGAAGAAGCCCCGGCUAACUACGUGCCAGCAGCCGCGGUAAUACGUAGGGGGCGAGCGUUAUCCGGAUUCAUUGGGCGUAAAGCGCGCGUAGGCGGCCCGGCAGGCCGGGGGUCGAAGCGGGGGGCUCAACCCCCCGAAGCCCCCGGAACCUCCGCGGCUUGGGUCCGGUAGGGGAGGGUGGAACACCCGGUGUAGCGGUGGAAUGCGCAGAUAUCGGGUGGAACACCGGUGGCGAAGGCGGCCCUCUGGGCCGAGACCGACGCUGAGGCGCGAAAGCUGGGGGAGCGAACAGGAUUAGAUACCCUGGUAGUCCCAGCCGUAAACGAUGGACGCUAGGUGUGGGGGGACGAUCCCCCCGUGCCGCAGCCAACGCAUUAAGCGUCCCGCCUGGGGAGUAC